rnacentral:rRNA from 1 species
GAUCCUGGCUCAGGAUGAACGCUAGCUACAGGCUUAACACACGCAAGUCGAGGGGCGAGCAUGGUCUUAGCUUGCUAAGGCCGAUGGCGACCGGCGCACGGGUGAGUAACACGUAUCCAACCUGCCGUCUACUCUUGGACAGCCUUCUGAAAGGAAGAUUAAUACAAGAUGGCAUCAUGAGUCCGCAUGUUCACAUGAUUAAAGGUAUUCCGGUAGACGAUGGGGAUGCG